rnacentral:misc_RNA from 1 species
AAGAUCUAAGCCAUAAAAAACUUUAGUUGAACUAAACAUUUUACCUAGACAAUCAUUUUUAAGAAACUUAUUCUGCAAGAAGUCCAGGCUUUACAUGUUGCUUGGAUAAGAGUUAACAAUCCUAGUUCCAAUAGGAAACUACCCAAAUUUAGAAAACUGAUAGUGAAUUAAAACCUUCCACAAAAGCAAGAAUAUUUUCAUAUUUUUGCUUUAAGCAUUUGAAGAUCUAAAUAAUGCUGCAGACAUAGAAGAUACGGUGGCACAUAAGAUACAGCAAGGAAGAUAUAGAGAAAGAUGGAAAAGCUCUAAUUCAUAAG